GACGAACGCUGGCGGCGUGCUUAACACAUGCAAGUCGAACGGAAAGGCCCUGCUUUUGUGGGGUGCUCGAGUGGCGAACGGGUGAGUAACACGUGAGUAACCUGCCCUUGACUUUGGGAUAACUUCAGGAAACUGGGGCUAAUACCGGAUAGGAGCUCCUGCUGCAUGGUGGGGGUUGGAAAGUUUCGGCGGUUGGGGAUGGACUCGCGGCUUAUCAGCUUGUUGGUGGGGUAGUGGCUUACCAAGGGUUUGACGGGUAGCCGGCCUGGGAGGGUGACCGGGCACAAUGGGACUGAGGUACGGACCAGAAGCCUACGGGAGGCAGCAGGGGGGAAUAUUGCACAAUGGGCGGAAGCCUGAUGCAGCAACGCCGCGUGCGGGAUGACGGCCUUCGGGUUGUAAACCGCUUUCGCCGGUGACGAAGCGUGAGUGACGGUAAUGGGUAAAGAAGCACCGGCUAACUACGUG
rnacentral:rRNA from 1 species